GAUACAGACAGAAAUGCCAUCAAUGAUCCAAGCGGAGCACCUAAAGUGGCUUAUGAAGAUCUUCCUUAAUCAGUUCCAGCUAAAACAGUCCCCAGCUCUUUGUGGACGGCCGGCUGUUGUGUCAAAGGUGGUGCUGCCGUGGGGAGUUUUGCAGUGUUUGGAAACGACAGGAUAGAUCCAAAGGAGACGUAUACUAAACAAGUCUCCAUAUUGGAGCGCCUUCUGUGCUGUAUCUUUGGCGGAGUAUCCGUUGGUGUUGAAUCUGUAUGAAAGGUUCACUGCAGCUCUGAACGCAUUGAACAGUUCUGGGAAAGCUCUUUUGAUUGCCACUUGCCCAGAGCGCCUUCUAUACUAUGGUACCAACUUCAAUUUUAACAGAGUAUCAGUUAAUCUCAGUUAACAUAACCCAAUAUCCUGUGAAAAACAACUUUGAGAUAAUUUUACCUGUUUUAAACUGGGCUUAGUGUAAGAGUUCAGUACCGUUAAAGUGAGAUGUAAGAGUUAUUUUAUCGGUCAUAUGCGAAAUUUGGUCAUACAUUUAAAUGCAAUGAUCUAUCUUGUUUCCGAAUGAGUUAAUUAUACCAAACUUAGAUAUAUCAAAGGGGAAGCGAAAACUCCUCUAACUACUUACCAAAUUUUAAUAGGUACCAAGAUAACACUCUUCAGAGGACCACGAAAGAAUUCUUUGGGCUUUUGAAACAAGGCAUUCCAAAAUCUUCUAAAGAAAAGAAAUUUCAUCUUCUGAAAACAAAACCUACAGUUAAAAUUCGUAGUUGUAAGCAAAAAUCGGUAACUGUCAUUUUUAGUAACUUUUGCGAGAUGUGAAUUUUGAAUUCACCUGCUUUAAAAAUGUUUUUUUUUUUCAACAGGUACUUCAUUAACAAAAUCUAGACCCGUAGUUUAAAACUCUGUGCGGUCGUAAUUAAAGUUAUCAACGGAUUUUUGCCCUCCAGGAAAAUUUUUUAUUACUCGUUUGCACUUUCGCCAAUAAUCGAUUUGAAAUCAGUUCUCCUUCGUACGAGAGCGUCACGUUUUUUGCUAAACAAGGGUCGAAACUAAUGACCCAUGUAUAUCCAUACCGUAAAAGUACCUCACCUUGAUAUUCAAUUUCGUUGGGUUUAGAAUGGCUUAAUUUUUUAGAUUAGGUCUGGUAUUUUAAUCAAUUGAACUACAAUCCUCUAUAGACCACGUAACAUCUAAGUAAAGAAACCCUCAACACUUUGAACGGAGCUAUACGGUGGUCGGUUUGGUACCCAAAUAAAAGACACCGAAAGAAGCACCCGUUAAGAUAUCAUGUCAUUUGAAACUGAUUGUUAAAAAGGCUUCUAAAUUUGUCUCUUAAAUAAACCUGGCGCCUUCCUACCUUCUUGAAACUGUUUUUUGAGGAGAAAAAUUGGGUCGUUUGUUUCUCUGAAAUAGUUUUAUUAGUCAAAGUUGUAAAAGCGCCUUGUGUACUCAUUAGGCUCGACCAAACAAUAUUUAAAAUCUGACGCAUUCAAAAUACUUCAAAAGGGCUUGAACAAUUU